CCUACGGGCGGCAGCAGUGGGGAAUAUUGGACAAUGGGGGCAACCCUGAUCCAGCCAUGCCGCGUGUGUGAAGAAGGCCCUCGGGUUGUAAAGCACUUUCAGUGAGGAAGAACGCCUGGUGGUUAAUACCCAUCAGGAAAGACAUCACUCACAGAAGAAGCACCGGCUAACUCCGUGCCAGCAGCCGCGGUGAAUACGGAGGGUGCGAGCGUUAAUCGGAAUUACUGGGCGUAAAGCGCGCGUAGGUGGCUUGAUAAGCCGGUUGUGAAAGCCCCGGGCUCAACCUGGGAACGGCAUCCGGAACUGUCAAGCUAGAGUGCAGGAGAGGAAGGUAGAAUUCCCGGUGUAGCGGUGAAAUGCGUAGAGAUCGGGAGGAAUACCAGUGGCGAAGGCGGCCUUCUGGACUGACACUGACACUGAGGUGCGAAAGCGUGGGUAGCAAACAGGAUUAGAUACCCGUGUAGUC
rnacentral:rRNA from 1 species